rnacentral:rRNA from 1 species
UACGAGGGGGGCGAGCGUUUGUUCGGAAUUACUGGGCGUAAAGCGCACGUAGGCGGCUUUGCAAGUUAGAGGUGAAAGCCCGGGGCUCAACUCCGGAAUUGCCUUUAAAACUGCAUCGCUAGAAUUGUGGAGAGGUAAGUGGAAUUCCGAGUGUAGAGGUGAAAUUCGUAGAUAUUCGGAAGAACACCAGUGGCGAAGGCGACUUACUGGACACAUAUUGACGCUGAGGUGCGAAAGCGUGGGGAGCAAACAGG